GCACUGUGCUGGCUGGGAGCGGGUGUAAUCCGAUGGGUGCUCGCGUCGCUCGGAACUAUCGCGCGUAAAGCCGACGGAGGCGGUCUGCGAAGACGGGGGUGAAUUCCGGGACCGGAACUCCAGAACUGCCUUCGAGACGGGAAAGCUCGAGUCGUGGAGAGGUGAGUGGAACUGCGAGUGUAGAGGUGAAAUUCGUAGAUAUUCGCAAGAACACCAGUGGCGAAGGCGGCUCACUGGCCCGGUACUGACGCUGAGGUGCGAAAGCGUGGGGAGCAAACAGGAUUAGAUACCCGAGUAGUC
rnacentral:rRNA from 1 species